UACGGAGGGUGCGAGCGUUGUCCGGAAUCACUGGGCGUAAAGGGCGCGUAGGCGGCCUGCUAAGUAGGGGGUGAAAUCUUGCGGCUUAACCGCAAGGCUGCCUUCUAAACUGUCAGGCUAGAGCACAGUAGAGGCAGGUGGAAUUCCCGGUGUAGCGGUGGAAUGCGUAGAGAUCGGGAAGAACAUCAGUGGCGAAGGCGGCCUGCUGGGCUGUUGCUGACGCUGAGGCGCGACAGCGUGGGGAGCAAACAGG
rnacentral:rRNA from 1 species